UAGCCAUGUUUUUCAAAAGUGGACAAACCAGGAAAUAUUGUUUCCUAGUCAUGUUUUUCAAAGGUGGACAAAUCAGGAAACAUUGUUUCCUAGCCAUGUUUUUCAAAGGUGGACAAAUCAGGAAACAUUGUUUCCUAGCCAUGUUUUUCAAAGGUGGACAAACCAGGAAACGUUGUUUCCUAGCCAUGUUUUUCAAAGGUGGAUAAAUCAGGAAACAUUGUUUCCUAGCCAUGUUUUUCAAAGGUGGACAAACCAGGAAACAUUGUUGUCACUAUUUUCUAAUUCUGUUCCCUAAAGGGAGGGAAACCAAGACAUCACACUUGUAGACGCAAUAUAUGUCUGAAUUAAUAUAUGUCUGAAUUUUUAGCAACCCAGGGUGGGCAAAUCAGUGAGGCAAAUGGGGAAACAUUGUUAGCAAAUAGUAAUUGGAACAAGUUAUAAUUAUUUUGAAAUAUAUUGUUAGGCGUUAUAGACCAUUAAUAUGAAAUGAAUAUUAUUUAAUAUCAGGAAACUGCGGGCUUAUAUCAUUUGAUUAUUUUUGAUUUGUAGAAUUCAAACAAUGAACAUUGAACACAAAAUCUGUUCAAUCUGA
rnacentral:lncRNA from 1 species